ensembl:misc_RNA 7SK 7SK RNA
GGAUGCAAGGGUGAUCUGGCUACGACAUCUGUCACCCCAUUGAUCACCAGGGUUGGUUUGGCUGAUCUAGCCGGCUAGGCGGGUGUCCCCUUCCUCCCUCGCUGCUCCAGGUGUGUCCCUCCCAAAGCUUCGCUCAGUCCAAGAAAAUGACCUUCCCUGACAGAGGAGGAUCAUUCUUUAGUCAAGGGUAUACGAGUGGCUGCAAUUCCCUGCUAGAAACUCCAAACAAGUUCUCAAGGCACAUAAAAUAAAUAAAAUAAAAAUGGAAUAAAAUAAAUAAAAUAAAAUGGAAUAAAAU